UGAAAUCCCCGGGCUUAACCUGGGAACUGCAUUCGAAACUGCAGGCUAGAGUCUCGUAGAGGGGGGUAGAAUUCCAGGUGUAGCGGUGAAAUGCGUAGAGAUCUGGAGGAAUACCGGUGGCGAAGGCGGCCCCCUGGACGAAGACUGACGCUCAGGUGCGAAAGCGUGGGGAGCAAACAGGAUUAGAUACCCUGGUAGUCCACGCCGUAAACGAUGUCGACUUGGAGGCUGUUCCCUUGAGGAGUGGCUUCCGGAGCUAACGCGUUAAGUCGACCGCCUGGGGAGUACGGCCGCAAGGUUAAAACUCAAAUGAAUUGACGGGGGCCCGCACAAGCGGUGGAGCAUGUGGUUUAAUUCGAUGCAACGCGAAGAACCUUACCUGGCCUUGACAUCCACGGAAUUCUGCAGAGAUGCGGAAUGCCUUCGGGAACCGUGAGACAGGUGCUGCAUGGCUGUCUUCAGCUCGUGUUGUGAAAUGUUGGGUUAA
rnacentral:rRNA from 1 species